CUUUAAAAAUCUGGAUCAAGCUGAAAAUUGAAACACAGAACAACGAAAAUUGUUCGUGAGUCUCUCAAAUUUUCGCAACACGAUGAUGAAUCGUAAGAAAAGAAACAUCUUCGG
rfam:Salmonella enterica strain JEO569 16S-23S intergenic spacer region, partial sequence; tRNA-Glu gene, complete sequence.